AACGAACGCUGGCGGCAUGCCUAACACAUGCAAGUCGAACGAAAUCUUCGGGCCUAGUGGCGCACGGGGGCGUAACGCGGGGGAACCUGCACUUAGGUUCGGAAUACCUCCCUGAAGGGGGUGUUAAUGCCGGAUAAUGUCUUAGGACAAAAGAUUUAUCGCCUUUGGAUGGGCCCGUGUUGGAUUAGCUAGUUGGUAGUGUAAUAGCCUACCAAGGCGACGAUCCAUAGCUAGUCGGAGAGGAUGAUCAGCCACACUGGGACUGAGACACGGCCCAGACUCCUACGGGAGGCAGCAGUGGGGAAUAUUGGACAAUGGGCGAAAGCCUGAUCAAGCAAUGCCGCGGGAGUGAUGAAGGGCUUAGGGUUGUAAAGCUCUUUUAGCCGGGAUGAUAAUGACAGUACCGGGAGAAUAAGCUCCGGCUAACUCCGUG
rnacentral:rRNA from 1 species